rnacentral:lncRNA from 1 species
CCUGAAGCAUCCUGGAAUGCCAGAAAGUCAGGAAGGGCUUUUUAAAAAGAACCACAUGGGGGGGAUGGGGGUGCUCUGUCGUAAUCCCAGCAGCUCCAGAGGCUGAGGCAGGAGGAUCAGGAGUUCAAAGCCAGCCUCAGCAAUGGCGAGGCACUAAGCAACUAGAUGAGACCCUGUCUCUAAAUAAAAUACAAAAUAGGGCUGGGGAUGUGGCUCAGUGGUCAAGUGCCCCUCUAUACCCACGCCCCAAAAAACAGAGAGAGACAAAAAAGGACCACAUCAGGCUGGAGUUAUGGCUCAGUGGUAGAGCACUCACCUGGCAUGUGUGAAGCCUUGGGUUGAUCCUCAGCACCAAUAUAAAUAAAUAAAUAAAAUUAAAAAGAAAAAAGAUCCACUGACAACUAAAUAUAUACAUAUAUAUUAAAAGCACACACACACACACACACAUCAACAAGGGUACAUGAGGGGAGCAUAGGAGUCACCCGGCCACAAGCUAGAACAAUUCAGCAACAACAUAAAUAUUGGAUGUUAACCCAAAUGUAAAGCAGAUAUUCAGGAGUCUAUUAUAAAUAAGUGAUUGAAUAAACAAAUGGGGGAGAAGAGACAAAGCUUCCAGGUGGAAGAAUUUCUAAGGAUUUUUGCAGAUACUUUACCCAAACUGGGGGAUGGGAAAGAGGCGUAGGACUCCCAGCCCUGACACCACGCAGUCGCACCUGGUGACUUCCCUCCAGAAAGUGCAGGGUGGAGGGGAAAGUGACCCUGUGUGGAGACAAGUGGCAGAAGCUUACCUCAGCCAGGUGUUCAAGGUCAACGUCACUCCGGUUGGUAGUGUAGACCCUUGGUAAGGUGGAAAUGGUGACCUGGCUCCCCAAACCCAGAGCCCCAGCAAAAUCCUGAGAAAGCAUGAGGCAAAUUGCAUCACACGUAUAGCUAACCAGCACCACUCAAAACUGUCAGGGUCAUCAAAAGGAAAGUCAGAGAACCGUCACAGCCAAAGGGAGCCACCAGAGAAAACCAUGAAAUGGAAUGUGAUAUCCUGGAGGGCAUCCUGGAACAGAAAAGGGAGUUAGCUGGACCCAGAAAGUCUAAAAGGACUAGAUGUCCGUUAAUAAGAAUGGGUCCAUGUUGUUUGGGUCACCACAACAAAUGUACACCACUAAGGUCAGAGGGCAAUAAUAGGAAAACUGGGUGCAGGAGGAGGGGUUGGGGGGAAGUCAAGGUACAGUGUUCUUAACUUUCCUGCAAAACUAAAACUGCCCUAAAAAUACAUUUUACUUUAAAAAAAAUUACUGGUAUGCAGUGGUGCAUACCAGUAAUCCCAGCAACCUGGGAGGCUGGGGCAGGAGGAUUACAAAUUUGAGGACAGCCUUGGCAAGUUAGUGAGAACCCUGUCUCACAAUAAAAAUAAAAAAUUAAAAAAGGCUGACCAUGUAGUUCAGUGGCCAAGCACCCCUGAGUUCAAUCGUCAGCACCAAAACAUAAAUAAAUGACAUCUCCCUCAACCAACAAUAUCCCCUGUGCCCUGCUUUUUCUCGUUGUAUCACCACUUAACAUACUAUAUAUUGAAUUUGUGUAUUUUCUUACAUGUUAACUCCCUGGAAUAUAAGCUCCUGGGACCAAGGGAGCAGCUCCAUGGCAGAGGUUAGCUAGAACUCAAGCUUCCCGAAAGCUUUUUGUUUCUUGGACUGCUAUAUCUCCAGCACUUAGAAUAGUCUGACGAAUAGGUAGCAGGUGCUCCAAAAAUAUAUUUGUUGAAUGAUAAAUUUCCAAAGAUAGCCAUUGUUAGUUUUUCCAGUUUCGCCUCUGCUUAAAUACAUUUAUUAUUGUUUUAAAACAAACACACAUACGGUGUUCUGCUUAUCUGUUCUCUUCACCUAAUAGCUCCUAUUUUCCCUUGUUAUUCUUUUACAACAUCAUUUUCUAGACCAUGCUGGUGUUCGCAGGCCCAGCAACUGGUUGUGAUUACAGAGGCAAAGAUGGUGGGGGCUCUCUGCUGG